UUGAGCAUCUAAAUAAUCAAAUUAGGAAUAAAUUAUUGAAAAGUAUCAGUUGUAUUUUAUUUACUGAGUAUGUCAGGACUCCCUGGUUGACCUGGUUUUCUAAAAACUGUCCAGGCAUUGAUCAGGUUCUGGUCGUUAAUGAGACAAACUGGAAAAAAAGGGGGGAUUUGUGGCUUUUUAAGGUUUUAUGUUUGUUUUAACCAUUUCAUCUCUGACUGAGCCUUAAAAUCCAUGUAAGCUUCCUGUUCGGUUCAAAGGCAGGUCAGGAGGCCGCACCCUCUAACCCCCACGACCCCUCUAAAGCUCCUGUUGAUUCCUGUUGUGUCAAAUGUUUCGUUGUGAGGACGUUCAACUUUUUGGACCUGUUCACCCCUCCAAAAUGAAAUUAAUUUAAUGAAAGACAUUUAUUAUUUGUCAAAACAUCAUGUUUUCCUGUACGCUGAUGAUAAUCUGCUCUAUUUAUCCUAUGUCUGUGUUUAUCAAGGCCUUGGUGGAUUAGGGCACACAUUUACAAGAUGUAAAAGCUAUUUUUUUAAUUCACAGAGUUAAAUGAAACUAACCUGGUUUUACAAAAAUGUGCCAGGAUAUAGGUUUAUGAACACUAACCUGGCAAGAAAAAACAUCAAGUUUAAACUAAAGCAUAAAAAACAAAGGCAAAAAGAGGAGCAGCCAAUUAAGAAAGAACACAUACAGUUAUACUAAAGUAAAGCCAAGGACUCGUAUGAGAAGGAGAGGAGCCAGAACACAAACUAUUUUUUUUAAAAAAGCCCCUCAAACCUAACAAAAUCAGACAAAAAAUAUAUAUAAUAAUAAUAUUUAUAUAUUUUAAUAAGUAUAUUUCAACAACUAACAAAACGAACAACUAAAAGAAUAAAAAUCUGACAUGAUACAUAUCUGUUUGUAUGUAUAUAUAUGUGUGUGUGUGUGUGUGUGUGUGUAUGUAAAUGUGUGUUUUUUUAAAACAUUGGGAUUUGCAAAAGUGACAAAAUGUAAUAAAUCGUGAGUCACAAAAAAUAAUUCUUCCAUUAUCAUUAAUUAAUACUUUUAAUUUUAGUUAAAUUAAGUUUACAAAUUCUUCAUUUUUGUCUGUAAAACUUUUUUUUCCCCCGAAAUUCCUUUUGCCUACCACAAAAAAAUCUCUAGAAACAUUUCAGUAAAAAAUAAAAAUAAAACAAAUAGAUGCUUUCUUAUUUUUCGCAUUUGUGAAUAAUGCAGCACUUUGUGCCGUUUUCAAAAUGUCCCGGUGAUGUAAAACAAAAAAUAAAAAAAGUAAAUAAUUUGGGUUUUUACCAGGGUAGAAUUCUUUAUCUUAACAUAUUUUAAAUUUCAGAACAUUUUCUAUUCAUUUUUCUUUUUUACUUGAGAAUGUUACCUGACUGAGCGCGCUCUGACUACCAUCUCCUGCUGUCUCCAGUCCACUCUCUCAUAGCGCUCUUCUGCAUUUGGUCACUAAUGUCGGGAUUUAGCAGAAUUAAGAACCUGUUGAAGCUUGUUGAUGAGUCUGUUACUGCAGUUUACUAUGAUACCUUUUAUCAUGCAUGAUGUAUCAUAGCCGUAUUGUCCAAAUGAAUCUGAGCCAUGAGGGCUGUGAAUGCCUCUCUGUGGCAGUAAUCCACCUGCAUGGGGGCAGGUCACCUGUCUGCCAGGUGAAGUCCUGCUUAGAUUACAGCAGCAUGUGUACUUAUCCGCUUUGAAUUUUAAAGCAGCAUAAAUUAAAAAAAAAAAAAAA